GAUGAACGCUGGCGGCGUGCCUAAUACAUGCAAGUCGAGCGAACAGACGAGGAGCUUGCUCCUCUGACGUUAGCGGCGGACGGGUGAGUAACACGUGGAUAACCUACCUAUAAGACUGGGAUAACUUCGGGAAACCGGAGCUAAUACCGGAUAAUAUAUUGAACCGCAUGGUUCAAUAGUGAAAGACGGUUUUGCUGUCACUUAUAGAUGGAUCCGCGCCGCAUUAGCUAGUUGGUAAGGUAACGGCUUACCAAGGCAACGAUGCGUAGCCGACCUGAGAGGGUGAUCGGCCACACUGGAACUGAGACACGGUCCAGACGCCUACGGGAGGGAGCAGUAGGGAAUCGUCCGCAAUGGGCGAAAGCCUGACGGAGCAACGCGGCGUGAGUUAUGAAGGUCUUCGGAUCGUAAAACUCUGUUAUGAGGGGAGAACAAAUGUGUAAGGAACUAUGCACGUCGUGACGGUACCUAAUCAGAAAGCCACGGCUAACUACGUG
rnacentral:rRNA from 1 species